UUUAUGGAGAGUUUGAUCCUGGCUCAGAGUGAACGCUGGCGGCGUGCCUAAUACAUGCAAGUCGAACGAUGAAGCUUCUAGCUUGCUAGAGUGCUGAUUAGUGGCGCACGGGUGAGUAACGCAUAGGUCAUGUGCCUCUUAGUUUGGGAUAGCCAUUGGAAACGAUGAUUAAUACCAGAUACUCCCUACGGGGGAAAGAUUUAUCGCUAAGAGAUCAGCCUAUGUCCUAUCAGCUUGUUGGUAAGGUAAUGGCUUACCAAGGCUAUGACGGGUAUCCGGCCUGAGAGGGUGAACGGACACACUGGAACUGAGACACGGUCCAGACUCCUACGGGAGGCAGCAGUAGGGAAUAUUGCUCAAUGGGGGAAACCCUGAAGCAGCAACGCCGCGUGGAGGAUGAAGGUUUUAGGAUUGUAAACUCCUUUUGUUAGAGAAGAUAAUGACGGUAUCUAACGAAUAAGCACCGGCUAACUCCGUGCCAGCAGCCGCGGUAAUACGGAGGGUGCAAGCGUUACUCGGAAUCACUGGGCGUAAAGAGCGCGUAGGCGGGAUAGUCAGUCAGGUGUGAAAUCCUAUGGCUUAACCAUAGAACUGCAUUUGAAACUACUAUUCUAGAGUGUGGGAGAGGUAGGUGGAAUUCUUGGUGUAGGGGUAAAAUCCGUAGAGAUCAAGAGGAAUACUCAUUGCGAAGGCGACCUGCUGGAACAUUACUGACGCUGAUUGCGCGAAAGCGUGGGGAGCAAACAGGAUUAGAUACCCUGGUAGUCCACGCCCUAAACGAUGGAUGCUAGUUGUUGGAGGGCUUAGUCUCUCCAGUAAUGCAGCUAACGCAUUAAGCAUCCCGCCUGGGGAGUACGGUCGCAAGAUUAAAACUCAAAGGAAUAGACGGGGACCCGCACAAGCGGUGGAGCAUGUGGUUUAAUUCGAAGAUACACGAAGAACCUUACCUAGGCUUGACAUUGAGAGAAUCCGCUAGAAAUAGUGGAGUGUCUGGCUUGCCAGACCUUGAAAACAGGUGCUGCACGGCUGUCGUCAGCUCGUGUCGUGAGAUGUUGGGUUAAGUCCCGCAACGAGCGCAACCCCCUUUCUUAGUUGCUAACAGGUUAUGCUGAGAACUCUAAGGAUACUGCCUCCGUAAGGAGGAGGAAGGUGGGGACGACGUCAAGUCAUCAUGGCCCUUACGCCUAGGGCUACACACGUGCUACAAUGGGGUGCACAAAGAGAAGCAAUACUGCGAAGUGGAGCCAAUCUUCAAAACACCUCUCAGUUCGGAUUGUAGGCUGCAACUCGCCUGCAUGAAGCUGGAAUCGCUAGUAAUCGCAAAUCAGCCAUGUUGCGGUGAAUACGUUCCCGGGUCUUGUACUCACCGCCCGUCACACCAUGGGAGUUGUGUUUGCCUUAAGUCAGGAUGCUAAAUUGGCUACUGCCCACGGCACACACAGCGACUGGGGUGAAGUCGUAACAAGGUAACCGUAGGUGAACCUGCGGUUGGAUCACCUCCUUUCUAGA
rnacentral:rRNA from 1 species